rnacentral:rRNA from 1 species
GCGUAGGGUAUGUAGGUGGUGAAAGUCAGUGUAAAUCAAAGACUGGGUUGCAACCCUUUAAGGUUUACUUCUAUAUUUCACUAGAAUCUGAGAGGGGUACUGGUAUAUUCAUGGAGGAGUUAAAUAUGAGAUAUGAAUAGGACCGACGGUGGUGGAAGCAAGUUCCUAGUCCAGUAUUGAGCUAAGGUACGAAGGCAGGGGAGCAAAAGGGAUUAGACACCCCUGUAGUCCGUGCUGUAACGCUGAGAUUUCAAUGUUAGAAAAGUGGAAUAUGAUCAGAAGAAUUUUGCUAUCAUAAAAAAGAAUGCGGAAUUCGUGGUUUAUUUUAUAAACGAAAUGAUCUAAUUAUUUAAUAUAAUUACAAAUCAAUACUAAGAGGUGUAUUUUUUUUGAUAUUCCAGUAUUUUUUAGUGUUUGAGUAACGCGUUAAAUUCUCCGCUGGGGAGUACGGCCGCAGGUUGAAACUCAAAAGAAUUGAGGUGACUUGUACGAGG